rnacentral:lncRNA from 1 species
CCCAUUUAAUUUGUCCAUGGUUUUGCAACCGAAGGAAGCACAUCAACACCAUCAAGAAAGCUGUGAAAGGAAGAACAUAGAUAAAGUUUCUCAAUCCCAAAAUUCUCAUUCUUCUCAUUGCAAAUAAUAAUUCAGGGCCUUUAAUUUACUUUAGGCCUUAUUGAAAAGUUGAGUCUUGUGUUUAACUACUAUUGAAAAAGAGGUCAAAGUGUUGAGAAAAAAUUAGUCCUUU